GACGAACGCUGGCGGCGUGCCUAAUACAUGCAAGUCGAACGCAGUGGGGACGGGUGAGUAACACGUGGGUAACCUCCCAUCAGAGGGGAUAACACUUGGAAACAGGUGCUAAACCGAUACUGAUGGAUGGACCAGCGGGGCAUUAGCUAGUGGGUGAGGAAACGGCUCACCAAGGCCACGAUGCAUAGCCGGCCUGGGAGGGUGAUCGGCCACACUGGGACUGGGACACGGCCCAGACGCCUACGGGAGGCAGCAGUAGGGAAUCUUCGGCAAUGGGCGAAAGCCUGACGGAGCAACGCCGCGUGAGUGAAGAAGGUUUUCGGAUCGUAAAACUCUGUUGUUAGAGAAGCGGUAUCUAACCAGAAAGCCACGGCUAACUCCGUGCCAGCAGCCGCGGUAAUAC
rnacentral:rRNA from 1 species